CUACGGGACGCAGCAGUGGGGAAUAUUGGACAAUGGGGGAAACCCUGAUCCAGCAAUGCCGCGUGUGUGAAGAAGGCCUGCGGGUUGUAAAGCACUUUCGGUUGGGAGGACUGCUUCUAGCACUAAUAUUGUUGGAAGUUGACGUUACCUUCAGAAGAAGCACCGGCUAACUCCGUGCCAACAGCCGCGGUGAAUACGGAGGGUGCAAGCGUUAAUCGGAAUUACUGGGCGUAAAGCGCGCGUAGGCGGCUAGAUCAGUCGGGUGUGAAAGCCCCGGGCUUAACCUGGGAACUGCAUCCGAUACUGUCUAGCUUGAGUACAGGAGAGGAGAGUGGAAUUCCACAUGUAGCGGUGAAAUGCGUAGAUAUGUGGAGGAACACCAAUGGCGAAGGCAGCUCUCUGGCCUGAUACUGACGCUGAGGUGCGAAAGCGUGGGGAGCAAACAGGAUUAGAUACUCCCGUAGUC
rnacentral:rRNA from 1 species